CACGUAGGGCGCGAGCGUUGUCCGGAAUUAUUGGGCGUAAAGAGCUCGUAGGCGGCCUGUUGCGUCCGCUGUGAAAGCCCGGGGCUUAACCCCGGGUCGGCAGUGGAUACGGGCAGGCUAGAGGUAGGUAGGGGAGAAUGGAAUUCCCGGUGUAGCGGUGAAAUGCGCAGAUAUCAGGAGGAACACCUGUGGCGAAAGCGGCUCACUGGACCACAACUGACGCUGAGGCGCGAAAGCUAGGGGAGCAAACAGG
rnacentral:rRNA from 1 species